UUAACUCAUAUUUGUAUGCAGUUGGAACAGCGCCCCUAGCGGCAAACUUAGGCAAACGUUCCAACUCCGUACAAAUUUGAGUUA
rnacentral:pre_miRNA from 1 species